rnacentral:lncRNA from 1 species
CACAUCUCAACAUGGACUGGACACAUUUCAAAUACUCAGGAGGCACAUAUGGCUAGUGGCAACUGUAUUGGACAGCACAGAUCUAAAACAAACCCUCACCUCCAGCCACUCUCAAUCACAUCGCCCUGCUUUAUCAUGAUUGUAACGCUUAUUAGUGUUUGAAAUUACCUGGCUUAUUUACUUGAACAUUAUUCCGCCUUGUUCUCUAUCUGUACCCUGCCCAUGAAAAGUAAAGUCCAAA